rnacentral:rRNA from 1 species
UGAUCCUGGCUCAGGACGAACGCUGGCGGCGUGCUUAACACAUGCAAGUCGAACGGAGAACUUAUUUCGGUAAGUUCUUAGUGGCGAACGGGUGAGUAACGCGUGGGCAACCUGCCCUCCAGUUGGGGACAACAUUCCGAAAGGGAUGCUAAUACCGAAUGUGCUCCCUCCUCCGCAUGGAGGAGGGAGGAAAGAUGGCCUCUGCUUGCAAGCUAUCGCUGGAAGAUGGGCCCGCGUCUGAUUAGCUAGUUGGUGGGGUAACGGCUCACCAAGGCGAUGAUCAGUAGCCGGUCUGAGAGGAUGAACGGCCACAUUGGGACUGAGACACGGCCCAAACUCCUACGGGAGGCAGCAGUGGGGAAUCUUCCGCAAUGGACGAAAGUCUGACGGAGCAACGCCGCGUGAGUGAUGAAGGUCUUCGGAUUGUAAAACUCUGUUGUUAGGGACGAAAGCACCGUGUUCGAACAGGUCAUGGUGUUGACGGUACCUAACGAGGAAGCCACGGCUAACUACGUGCCAGCAGCCGCGGUAAUACGUAGGUGGCAAGCGUUGUCCGGAAUUAUUGGGCGUAAAGAGCAUGUAGGCGGGCUUUUAAGUCUGACGUGAAAAUGCGGGGCUUAACCCCGUAUGGCGUUGGAUACUGGAAGUCUUGAGUGCAGGAGAGGAAAGGGGAAUUCCCAGUGUAGCGGUGAAAUGCGUAGAUAUUGGGAGGAACACCAGUGGCGAAGGCGCCUUUCUGGACUGUGUCUGACGCUGAGAUGCGAAAGCCAGGGUAGCAAACGGGAUUAGAUACCCCGGUAGUCCUGGCCGUAAACGAUGGAUACUAGGUGUAGGAGGUAUCGACCCCUUCUGUGCCGGAGUUAACGCAAUAAGUAUCCCGCCUGGGGACUACGAUCGCAAGAUUGAAACUCAAAGGAAUUGACGGGGGCCCGCACAAGCGGUGGAGUAUGUG